rnacentral:rRNA from 1 species
UACGUAGGGAGCAAGCGUUGUCCGGAAUCAUUGGGCGUAAAGCGCGCGUAGGUGGCCUCGUAAGUCCGCUGUGAAAGUCAAAGGCUCAACCUUUGAAAGCCGGUGGAUACUGUCGGGCUCGAGUACGGAAGAGGCGAGUGGAAUUCCUGGUGUAGCGGUGAAAUGCGCAGAUAUCAGGAGGAACACCAAUUGCGAAGGCAGCUCGCUGGGACGUUACUGACGCUGAGACGCGAAAGCGUGGGGAGCAAACAGG